rnacentral:rRNA from 1 species
AUUGAACGCUGGCGGCAUGCUUUACACAUGCAAGUCGAACGGGGUGGAGGGGCAACUCUCCAUUCAGUGGCGAACGGGUGAGUAAUGCAUCGGAACGUGCCCCGUAGUGGGGGAUAACGCCGCGAAAGCGGCGCUAAUACCGCAUAUGCUCUACGGAGGAAAGUGGGGGAUCCGCAAGGACCGCACGCUAUGGGAGCGGCCGAUGUCCGGUUAGCUGGUUGGUGGGGUAAUGGCCUACCAAGGCGACGAUCGGUAGCUGGUCUGGGAGGAUGGUCGGCCACACUGGGACUGAGACACGGCCCAGACUCCUACGGGAGGCAGCAGUGGGGAAUUUUGGACAAUGGGCGCAAGCCUGAUCCAGCCAUGCCGCGUGCGGGAAGAAGGCCUUCGGGUUGUAAACCGCUUUUAGCCGGGACGAAAAGGGCACGGAUAACACCCGUGUCUCUUGACGGUACCGGCGGAAUAAGCACCGGCUAACUACGUGCCAGCCGCCGCCGUAAAAC